AACAACGUAUUGUCUUAUUUCCAUCAGUAACAUCUCCCCUAAAGAUAGAAACAGAACCAGGAGCAGGAGCACCCACGCAGCCUGUCCGUUUCUGCGUGUUUUUCUAAAAACCGUUAAUCGGAGGGGAUGGGCAUGCCAGGAGCGCACGCUGGCUCUGUGUUCGACACUUUCAGAUUCUCUCUAAUGAAAAGUAUUUUUAAUAUCCGCGCGUAAAAGUCCCAGGCUGUUUACGCACACUGUGCCUACAUAACAGCAGGCGUAAAAAGCCCAUCGCAGCCCUUCUCCACACACGCGGCCCACGCCGAGUGUCUGUGGGAACAUCUGUGAUGUGAACGGUGACGUUAGAAGAGCUCUGGGUGGGUUUGACUUUCCUCUACUCAGCCCCCUUCCCUUCCCUCUCUACGAUCUUCUGUUAUCUUCUCGAGAAUAUUCCUCCCACCUUGCAGCGGCCAUCUGAGACGCUGAGUCACCCAGGCGCUCAACAGGACGUGUUUUGGAAGGGAGACGCGUUUUAUGUGGUUCAGCUGGAGGAAAGUUUGCUGAAACACAAUCUGAACCCAGUAAAUGUCAAGUGUGUGUGUGUGUGUGUGUGUGUGUGUGUGUGUGUGUGUGUAAGAGCUGCUCAAGCCUGUAAUUGAGGGUUUUUGUACAUUAACUUACUGUAACUGACUAGAUGUUCAGGUCCUGACAUGAUUUAGAGCAGAAUCAGGUCGUUUCGAGCCCAGACCAAAGCUGAACACUUACAGCAUAAACAUGACUCGUGAUGUUUGCGUUUACAUAUUUGCUAUGCUGGUAUGCUUACACUGUAUCACACCUGCUUCACAGCUGAUCAUGUCCUGAGAUGUGGGACCUGUUGCAGACCUAUACCACCACCUAGUGGUAACUAUCGCGCCUGCUUAGGGUUCUACAACCCCCCAAGGCGCUUCACGUCACAAUCGGUCAUUCACCUAUCCACACGUUGGGGAUGAGCUGCAAUGUGACCACAGCUGUCCUGGGGCGCGCCGACAGAGGCACCACCGGUCCCUCCGACCACCACCAGCAGGCAAGGUGGGUUAAGUGUCUUGCCCAAGGACACAACAACAGAAUUCUCUGGUCGGGAUCAAACCUGCAACCUUCCGAUUACCUGACAACCUGCUCUACCUCCGGAGCUGCUGCUGUCCCAUAGUAGUAGGAUGAAACAUAAAAAUUAAUUAUUUAAAAAUAACAUGAAUUAAUUAACCCUUUCAUGCGUAAUGGUCACUACCGUGGACAGCUACUCAAAACAUGUUUUUGCUAUUAUUAAGCUGCUGCUGACAACUUUGUUGCACUUGAACCUUCCUUUUGGACUCUAGCCAACAUAAUUCAUGUUCAGCUGUCCACUGAGGUGGAUGUGUAAUGAAUUAUUUGUGAAUUCAAUGUUUUAGUCUAACUUUGUUUCAUUUAAACCUAAAAAUCCUGGUUGAAGGUUUCAUAAUUCAUGCAAGAAAGGGUUUAUUAAAAAAACAAUAAUUUAUUACCA